GUGCCUAUACAUGCAAGUCGAGCGGACAGAAGGGAGCUUGCUCCCGGAUGUUAGCGGCGGACGGGUGAGUAACACGUGGGUAACCUGCCUGUAAGACUGGGAUAACUCCGGGAAACCGGAGCUAAUACCGGAUAGUUCCUUGAACCGCAUGGUUCAAGGAUGAAAGACGGUUUCGGCUGUCACUUACAGAUGGACCCGCGGCGCAUUAGCUAGUUGGUGAGGUAACGGCUCACCAAGGCGACGAUGCGUAGCCGACCUGAGAGGGUGAUCGGCCACACUGGGACUGAGACACGGCCCAGACUCCUACGGGAGGCAGCAGUAGGGAAUCUUCCGCAAUGGACGAAAGUCUGACGGAGCAACGCCGCGUGAGUGAUGAAGGUUUUCGGAUCGUAAAGCUCUGUUGUUAGGGAAGAACAAGUGCAAGAGUAACUGCUUGCACCUUGACGGUACCUAACCAGAAAGCCACGGCUAACUACGUGCCAGCAGCCGCGGUAAUACGUAGGUGGCAAGCGUUGUCCGGAAUUAUUGGGCGUAAAGGGCUCGCAGGCGGUUUCUUAAGUCUGAUGUGAAAGCCCCCGGCUCAACCGGGGAGGGUCAUUGGAAACUGGGAAACUUGAGUGCAGAAGAGGAGAGUGGAAUUCCACGUGUAGCGGUGAAAUGCGUAGAGAUGUGGAGGAACACCAGUGGCGAAGGCGACUCUCUGGUCUGUAACUGACGCUGAGGAGCGAAAG
rnacentral:rRNA from 1 species